rnacentral:rRNA from 1 species
AGAUUGAACGCUGGCGGCAGGCCUAACACAUGCAAGUCGAGCGGCAGCACGGGUACUUGUACCUGGUGGCGAGCGGCGGACGGGUGAGUAAUGCCUAGGAAUCUGCCUGGUAGUGGGGGAUAACGCUCGGAAACGGACGCUAAUACCGCAUACGUCCUACGGGAGAAGCAGGGGACCUUCGGGCCUUGCGCUAUCAGAUGAGCCUAGGUCGAUUAGCUAGUUGGUGAGGUAAUGGCUCACCAAGGCGACGAUCCGUAACUGGUCUGAGAGGAUGAUCAGUCACACUGGAACUGACGAC